rnacentral:rRNA from 1 species
UACCAGCACCCCGAGUGGUCGGGACGUUUUAUUGGGCCUAAAGCAUCCGUAGCCGGUUCUACAAGUCUUCCGUUAAAUCCACCUGCUCAACAGAUGGGCUGCGGAAGAUACUAUGGAGCUAGGAGGCGGGGAGAGGCAAGCGGUACUCGAUGGGUAGGGGUAAAAUCCGUUGAUCCAUUGAAGACCACCAGUGGCGAAGGCGGCUUGCCAGAACGCGCUCGACGGUGAGGGAUGAAAGCUGGGGGGAGCAAACCGG